rnacentral:misc_RNA from 1 species
AAGACUAUAGACCUGCGGAGUACCUGCGGAAGGAUCAUUAACAACAUGGGGGUUGCUGGCGGACGUUUUGGUUCAUGCGACCGCCCGUCCGCCCGGCUACACCCCAAUUCCGGCGUGCGCGAGGGCGAGGCAGCCUGACAGGCUCGGGCUGCCCCCCCCCGAACGCAUGUUCCCAUCCGUGUCUUUGGAGUACCUGUUCGUUUCCUCGGCGGGCUCGCCCGCCAACGGGGACCAACCCAA